rnacentral:rRNA from 1 species
GACGAACGCUGGCGGCGUGCUUAACACAUGCAAGUCGAACGGAAAGGCCCUGCUUUUGUGGGGUGCUCGAGUGGCGAACGGGUGAGUAACACGUGAGUAACCUGCCCUUGACUUUGGGAUAACUUCAGGAAACUGGGGCUAAUACCGGAUAGGAGCUCCUGCUGCAUGGUGGGGGUUGGAAAGUUUCGGCGGUUGGGGAUGGACUCGCGGCUUAUCAGCUUGUUGGUGGGGUAGUGGCUUACCAAGGCUUUGACGGGUAGCCGGCCUGAGAGGGUGACCGGCCACAUUGGGACUGAGGUACGGCCCAGACUCCUACGGGAGGCAACAGUGGGGAAUAAUGCACAAUGGGCGGAAGCCUGAUGCGACAACGCCGCGUUCGGGAUUACGGCCUUCGGGUUGUAAACCGCUUUCGCCUGUGACGAAGCGUGAGUGACGGUAAUGGGUAAAGAAGCACCGGCUAACUACGUG